rnacentral:rRNA from 1 species
AUUGAACGCUGGCGGCAGGCCUAACACAUGCAAGUCGAGUGGUAGCACAGAGAGCUUGCUCUCGGGUGACGAGCGGCGGACGGGUGAGUAAUGUCUGGGAAACUGCCUGAUGGAGGGGGAUAACUACUGGAAACGGUAGCUAAUACCGCAUAACGUCGCAAGACCAAAGUGGGGGACCUUCGGGCCUCAUGCCAUCAGAUGUGCCCAGAUGGGAUUAGCUAGUAGGUGGGGUAACGGCUCACCUAGGCGACGAUCCCUAGCUGGUCUGAGAGGAUGACCAGCCACACUGGAACUGAGACACGGUCCAGACUCCUACGGGAGGCAGCAGUGGGGAAUAUUGCACAAUGGGCGCAAGCCUGAUGCAGCCAUGCCGCGUGUAUGAAGAAGGCCUUCGGGUUGUAAAGUACUUUCAGCGGGGAGGAAGGUGUGGAGGUUAAUAACCUCAGCAAUUGACGUUACCCGCAGUAGAAGCACCGGCUAACUCCGUGCCAGCAGCCGCCGUAAAAC